rnacentral:rRNA from 1 species
AGUGAACGCUGGCGGUAGGCCUAACACAUGCAAGUCGAACGGCAGCACAGUAAGAGCUUGCUCUUACGGGUGGCGAGUGGCGGACGGGUGAGGAAUACAUCGGAAUCUACUUUUUCGUGGGGGAUAACGUAGGGAAACUUACGCUAAUACCGCAUACGACCUACGGUUGAAAGCAGGGGAUCUUCGGACCUUGCGCGAUUGAAUGAGCCGAUGUCGGAUUAGCUAGUUGGCGGGGUAAAGGCCCACCAAGGCGACGAUCCGUAGCUGGUCUGAGAGGAUGAUCAGCCACACUGGAAGUGGGACACGGUCCAGACUCCUACGGGAGGCAGCAGUGGGGAAUAGUGGACAAUGGGCGCAAGCCUGAUCCAGCCAUACCGCGUGGGUGAAGAAGGCCUUCGGGUUGUAAAGCCCUUUUGUUGGGAAAGAAAAGCAGCAGGUUAAUACCCCGCUGUUCUGACGGUACCCAAAGAAUAAGCACCGGCUAACUUCGUG